rnacentral:rRNA from 1 species
GGACGAACGCUGGCGGCGUGCCUAACGCAUGCAAGUCGAGCGGGGAUGGUAGCUGAAGGUGAUGAGCUGGAAGCUGCCAUCUUAGCGGCGGACGGGUGAGUAACACGUGAGCAACCUACCCUCAGCACGGGGAUAACAGCUCGAAAGGGCUGCUAAUACCCGAUGGGACCACGUCAUUGCAUGGUGAUGUGGUGAAAGGGUGGACGUAAGGUCCAUGCCGGCUGGGGAUGGGCUCGCGGCCCAUCAGCUAGUUGGUGGGGUAACGGCCUACCAAGGCGACGACGGGUAGCCGGCCUGAGAGGGUGACCGGCCACAGUGGGACUGAGACACGGCCCACACUCCUACGGGAGGCAGCAGCGGGGAAUCUUGCGCAAUGGGCGAAAGCCUGACGCAGCGACGCCGCGUGAGGGAAGGAGCCCUUCGGGGUGUAAACCUCUUUGGACGGGGAGAAGUAGGAGAUAGUACCCGUUUAAAAAGCCACGGCUAACUACGUGCCAGCAGCCGCGGUAAUACGUAGGUGGCGAGCGUUGUCCGGAAUUACUGGGCGUAAAGGGUGCGUAGGCGGCCUGGUAAGUUGAGCGUGAAAUUUUUGGGCUCAACCCAAAAGGAGCGUUCAAGACUGCCAGGCUUGAGUGCGGGAGAGGACGGCGGAAUUCCCGGUGUAGCGGUGAAAUGCGUAGAUAUCGGGACGGCACGAUGCAGUGUAGAUGGCGGAGCGUUCUUGAUCCCUUAUCCGCCGCUGAGGUCUCGAAACUCAGGGUCAAGCUAACACACGAGUAGACUACCCCUCGUACUGCCGCGCUUCUCAACGAUAGUAUGCUAGGUCGGCGGGUGAAGGAGAUAUUUUCCGUGCUUUCUCGCACUCAACAAGCAUGGCUGUGUGAGGCGUUCGGGGGGAGAGGUCCAAAAUUUAUAGGAUUAAAUGGGCACCCGCCCAACGCGCCCCGCAUGUGGUGUAAUUCCAAACAACGCGCACCACCUUUUCAUGGCUCGACAGGCGGGGGCACCCUUCUGAAAGGAGGGUGUUCCUGAUAUAUUAUCUUAUUAUUCUCCACACAAAGUGGUGCAUACUCGUAGUCAGUCUCUGUCGCGCGAGGUGUGGCUAAGUCUCGCAUUGAGCGCAUCCCAUGACUUUAGUCGCCAGCGGGCAGAGCGAGGCUGUAUAAGGUGACUGCCCCCGAUGAGGCGGACGAAGGUGGGGAUGAGGUCAACUCAUCAUGCCCGUUAUGCCCUGGGCUACACACGUGCUACAAUGGGUGCUACAGAUCCCCCGAAGGCGCGACCUGGAGUUCAUCCCUUAAAAGCACCCCCAGUUCAGAUUGCAGGCCGCAACUGGCCUGCAUGAAGUCGGAAUCGGUAGUAAUCGCGGAUCAGCAUGCCGCGGUGAAUAUGUUCCCGGGCCUUGUACACACAGCCCGUCACACCAUGAGAGUCAGCAACUACCAAGACACAGGACAUGUGUGUGAAGGCACGCGAUGAUUGGGGU